rnacentral:sRNA from 4 species
UGUAUCUGAAGUCUGACGAGGAUGAGAACCUCCGGGGGCAAGAGGUUCGACUCGAGCGAAGCGAGAGAACGUUGCGUCAGCAACGGCCCGCAGGGCGAGCCACGCAGUGGCGAGUCAUCCUCUAUCACCGAACU